AGUCAAUAGAUACCCGGGUAGUCCACGCCCUAAACGAUGUCAACUAGGUGUUGGGAGCGCAAGUUCUUGGUACCGCAGCUAAACGCGUGAAGUUGACCGCCUGGGGAGUACGGUCGCAAGAUUAAAACUCAAAGGAAUUGACGGGGACCCGCACAAGCGGUGGAUGAUGUGGAUUAAAUUCGAUGCAACGCGAACAACCUUACCUACCCUUGACAUGUCCGGAAGUCUGGUGAAAGCCGGGGGUGCCCGCAAGGGAACCGGAACACAGGUGCUGCAUGGCUGUCGUCAGCUCGUGUCGUGAGAUGUUGGGUUAAGUCCCGCAACGAGCGCAACCCUUGUCCUUAGUUGCUACGCAAGGGCACUCUAAGGAGACUGCCGGUGACAAACCGGAGGAAGGUGGGGAUGACGUCAAGUCCUCAUGGCCCUUAUGGGUAGGGCUUCACACGUCAUACAAUGGUCGGUACAGAGGGUAGCCAACCCGCGAGGGGAGCCAAUCCCAGAAAGCCGAUCGUAGUCCGGAUCGCAGUCUGCAACUCGACUGCGUGAAGUC
rnacentral:rRNA from 1 species